UAUAUAUAUAUAUAUAUAUAUAUAUAUAUAUAUAUAUAUA
rnacentral:misc_RNA from 1 species